AUUGAACGCUGGCGGCAGGCCUAACACAUGCAAGUCGAGCGAGAGGCGGACGGGUGAGUAAUGUAUGGGGGCUGCACGUUCGAGGGGGAUAACUACUGGACACGGUAGCUAAUACCGCAUACUAUCGGAUAACCCAUAUGGGAUUAGUUAGUAGGUGAGGGAAGGGCUCCCCUAGGCGACGAUCCCUAGCUUGUCUGAGAGGAAUAUCAGCCACACUGGGACUGAGACACGGCCCAGACUCCUACGGGGGGAGCAGUGGGGAAUAUUGCACAAUGGGCGGAAGCCUGAUGCAGCCAUGCCGCGUGUAUGAAGAAGACCCUAGGGUUGUAAAGUACUUUCAGUCGGUAGGCGUUACCGACAGAAGAAGCACCGGCUAACUCCGUGCCAGCAGCCGCGGUAAUUC
rnacentral:rRNA from 1 species